UAUAGCCUAUAGGCAGUUUUAGUCCAUAUUACAAAGUUUUUGGAGUCAGGCAGUAAGUCGGUAAAAAUAUACAGUCAGGAUGCCAGUCAAACGACGAGGACGUCGAGUGAUUUCAUCUUUUAAGUCAAACGACAGCGGCGCUACGCCGCAAAAUGGCGCCUUGACACAGGUGGAGUCGGGACUGGGUAACGUUACGGUGCUUCCGACACUGGAAGUGGGAGACCAUCACAAAUUACAUGUGGAAGCAAUGGUCCUGGCUGUUAUAGCUGAACAUUCCCUUCCACUCUCGCUCCGGUCCUUGUGGAAAUGAGUCAACAACUCAACUCAGCAGACGCGCAGCUACUUUGAUCAAGAGCGGAAGGAUGUCAUCGUUGAACACUUAGAUUCUCUUGAAGUAGUGAAAGUCAGUGCUGCCAGUUUGGAGAAGGCCAUGUGUGACUUCUUUGAGAGAAAACGGAUUCCCUGAACAAACCUAGUCAGCAUAAUGCUGGAUUCAUGCAACGUGAUGAGGGGCAGCAAAUCGAGACUUGAGACAAGAAUCAGACAGAACCAUUGUCCAACACUGGUGCACAAACUUCAUAACCAGCUUCAUCAAACCUGAGCACCUCAAGAUGUCACCCAAAGCACUGAUGAAGUUGGACUUGGCAGACCGGACUCUGUACUCUGUAGCAGAAACACAGGCAGCAGCAGCAGCCCACCCAAAACACCUGGAGCCUGCAGCCGGUACUAUGAGCGUGUGAAGCGGGAGUUAAAGCUUCAAGCUGAAAACAAGAUGGAGGAGGAUCGCAGGGCCGAAGCUCUGAACAACAGGAGACACUGGAUAAGUUGAAUCAUAUAUGGAAACUUAAUGAAAAUCUGCAGCUUUAUAAUGUAAUAAUCCCACAAACCUAUUAACAGUCGCUUACCACAAACGCAAUGCCUCAUGUCCCACAAACACCAUUUAUUCUUCACAUCUGCAUGAACAAAGCAUGCUGUAAUCUGUUACCUACUGCAGCUGCGCUCACUUUUGGGUAUCUCCCUCUUAUGGUGAACAUGAGGAACUGCACUCUACUGGUACUGCAAGUCCAAAGGGGUAACUGGAGCACAGUAAUUCUGUUUUAACAAAUAAAAUAAAAUGAAAUGAUGCAACUGACUUAAAUGAAAUGAUAAAAUGACCUAUAAUAAAAUUACUAAAUAGAUAAAUAAGACAGGGGUGGCCUUUAGUUUAAACUGGAAACUGGAAAGAUAUGGUGUUAGGGGAAUAGUGCCUGACUGGGUCAAAAGUUAUUUAAGUGGGAGACAGCAGUUUGUGAGAUUGGGUAACUGCUCCUCAUCAUGUUUGGGAAUUACUUGUGGUGUGCCCCAGGGGUCAGUAUUGGGCCCUAAAUUCUUCAUUGUGUACAUAAAUGAUAUAUGUAAAGUCUCUCAGUUAUUGCAUUUUGUUCUUUUUGCGGAUGAUACAAAUAUUUUUUGCUCUGGGGACAGCUUACAACAAUUACAAGAGGACAUCACUAAAGAAAUGAAGAAACUAAAAAUGUGGUUUGACAGAAACAGGUUGUCAUUAAAUUUGAACAAGACAAAAAUAAUGUUAUUUGGUAAUUGUAGAAUGAAUACACAGGUCAUUGAAAUUGGAAGUUAAUGAAAUUAAAUUUCUGGGAGUAAUUAUAGAUGACAGAAUUAGCUGGAAAUCACAUAUCAAACAUGUACAGACUAAAGUUGCAAGAAGUAUUGCAAUAAUAAACAAAGCAAAGAUGGUUUUAGAUCAGAAAUCACUCCACACCGUAUACUGUUCUUUAGUCUCACCUCACACCUCACUUACAGUACUGUGCUGAGGUUUGGGCCAACAGCUACAAAACCACGCUAUCUCCUCUUAACUAUUCUUCAAAAAAGAGCUAUACGAAUUAUUCACAAAGUUGGUUACCAGGAACACAACUCUUAAAAAUUGUUUUCUGUUUCAGCUUCUUAAUGCACAUAGGGCUGAGGCAGAGAAACUGUUGACUGAGGAGGAGUACAGGUACUUGAAGGAUGUCCCUGAAUGCCUCAUGAGUGAUGAAGAGACUGAUGAGGAGGAUAAACAGACAUGGAGAGUCAGCCAACCUGAGAGGAGAGCCACCAGGCUGACUGAAAUUUUGCAGGGGUGUCGAGAGAAGUUGGUUGGGUAGCAGAAUAGCUCCAACAGGAUGGUCCAUUUGAAGGAGGACUCGGGAUGGCAACUGAGAAACUCUUAAAAAUAAAAAAGUUGAUGCUGAAAAUCUGUGUAGGCCUACUUUUUUCCUAAGAAUUUGUGACUUUAGAAAGAAAAAGUGUUUUGUUAUACAAUAUUCUUUGAGCAAGUGAAGACAGUGUGUAGGUGUCUG